CUCUGAUGGAGUGAAGUGUUUAAUAGUGCGGGAAAACCCAACGAUGUCCGACCGAAAAAUGGUCACUUCGUUUGAAGUGGACGGAUUUAUGUUCUUAGAGGACAUCUUUUUGGUUGCUGAAGGUUACGACCAAUCGAUAAACUGGUUAGAACUGGAUCGUGUAAAGUUUCUAUAGAAUUAUGAAUUACAAUCAAUUUCCGGUUUACCUUGUCCAGUUCUCUACUGGAAAUGAGGUUGUUAACGAGAUCGAUGACACAGGGAACCACCAGUAAUGCGUACAUAACGAAGAGGGCUCCCAGGCACGCCUUCCUCCGGAAA